rnacentral:lncRNA from 1 species
GGACCCAUAGAAAUCUUCAAUCGGAGGUUGAAAAUUUGACAAAGAAGGUGAAAGAGAAGACAUGGAUAAUAUCUAUUUAUAUCCUAGAUGUUUACCAUUGAUCUUUGAUCAGGAUAAACGGUUCAAAACAACUAACAACUUUGCAAGUUAAGGAGAUGGCAUAUAACACUAAAGUUUGCACGUUGAAAGCACAACUUUUCUCCAAUUUAUUGAAAUUAUUCGGCAAUAGCAAAGUAUUAGGCAACCCCCGUUCAUCAUAGGUUGAUUUGGCUAGAUCACUAUGGCAUCACAGUCCAUAUCUUCACCUUGAUGCAAAUUGUAUUACAACAAUCUAGAUAAACACUAAUCUAAAUAAUCAACUCCUUGCGCAACCAAUUAGCAUCAAAAUGCGUACCUGCAAACAAAGAAUCAAAUAAUAUCAAUGUUUAAUAUAUUUUUAAACAACAUUUAAACUUGUUUAGAGGCAAUACUUCAGUUCCUAUAUCAAAUGUGUUGUAUUGGGAUGGAAUUCUUUCAAGAGAUAAUGAUUUUUUUUUAUUGCAACAAUGUCUAAUAAAGUGCAGCUUAACAUCAAUAUGCCUGGUUGUUUCAUGAAAAACAGGAUUUUUAUAUAAAAUAAUAGCACAUUGACAAUUUAAAUAUAAUACAGCAAGAUUAGAGUCAUUUAUUUUAAAUAACAAAUUUUUUAACCAUAAGACUUCUUUUAAUUUACAUUUUCAGUAGUAGUUAUAUAAUCAGCUUCAGUAGUUGAUAAAUGUACAAUAGAUUGCAAUUGGGAUUUCCAACUAAUACAAGUUUCAUGCAAAGUAAACUUAUAAAAAAAGUAGUGGAAUUUCUAUUAUCCCUAUUCGUGCAAAGUCUACAUUUACAUAUCCCGUAAGUACUACACCUCCAUAUAAGAACUAAAACAUAACUUUAAUUGUGAGGAUCCUUUCAAAUAUUUUAAUAGUCAUUUUAAAGCAAUAUAGUGCUUAAGGCCAGAAUUGGUUAUAAACAUACUAAGGAUAUUUAUAACGUGGCCUACAUCAAGUGUAGUGCAUACCAUAUAUAACUGAGCCUAUAGCAUUAGCAUAAAGGAGCUUUGCCAUGUAUCUAAUAUCUGAUUCAUCAACAAGACAUUAAUCCAUACAACAUAUGAAAUGACUAGCAAUUGGCAAAGUUACAUAUUCAGAAUCAUGCAUAACAAAUUUUGAUAGCACACAUUUUCAAUGUAGGAAGUUUGUUUCAAAAUUAGAAUAUAUUUAGAUAUAUUUUUCAAAAUGUCCAUCCUAUUAUUCCUCCAGCAUGACAUAGAUUUAUCAUUUCAAAUACAGUACUUAGUGAUCUUUUUAAUAAGUGCACAAAAACAUAUUUACUUUUAUCCAUAAAGCAUUGUGGCUGACUCAUAGAGUAGUCUCAUCCAAAUCCCCAUGCAAGAAAGUGGUUUUCAUAUACAUCUUUAAAAGUUCAAAAUCAUAAUGGGCAACUAAUACUAACAUCACUCUACUUAUAGUAUAUUUUACAACAUGUGAGAAAGAUUUCAUUAUAAUCAACUUUGUUUUGAGUAAAAUAUUUUGAAAUUAUUCUAGACUUAAAUCUAAGUGGAUCAUUUUUGAAUUCCCUUCUUUAACACGAUAAAUCCAAUCACAAUUCACUUAAGAUUUAUCAACACAUCUUGGAACAAUUAUCAAAAUUCUAUUUUCAUCAAAGAAUUCAUUUCUUCUAACAUGACAAAGUACCAAUUUUUAGAUUAUUGGCUAAUAAUAGCUUCAACGAAAGUUUCAAGCUCCUUAAAAGACUAGAUCUUGUAGGAAAGAACAGUAAAAGAGAGAGGAUCUCUAAAUUUAAAUGGUUCUCUAAUAUCCAUUCUAAUUGUAUUUCUAAUUAGUUGAUAAUCAUCUAAGACAGAGGUCGUUGUUCUUCCUCAUCUAGUCGGGCAUGUAUAUUGCUUUCCCCAAUUUCCCUAGAAUCAGAAACACUUUUUCUGACUCACUUUUCUCCUGUAUUUUAUCAACAAAGUCAGGUGUGGACUGAAUUUCCACCUAUAGCUUAGUCCCAUUAGUCACUCCUAUUUCAGAGGCAUUUUUAGUGGGAAAACGAUAGUCUAUCAAGGUCAUUUGCACAGACCCUGACCAGACUAUCUCUCAAACAAGGGGACUCACACCCAUUUUUUAAGGACAAAAAAAAUGCCCACCCUCUCUUAGUUUCGCAAGGGUUUGUGCAAAUGACCUGGCAGACUAGGAUAUCCCUUUUUAGUGCUUCUAUCACUCAAACAUGUGUGUGUGUGUGUGUGUAAUCAGAGUCGAUCCUGAAAUUUUGGGUGCCUUGUGCGAAAUUUUAAAAUGGUGCUACCUUCAAGUAACUAAAACAUAUAUUAAUGAAAAUAUAUUUCAAUAAUAUUAUUUCAUUGCAUAAAUAUGAUAUUUAAUUUAUUUUUUUAACAUACAUGAACAAGAAAAACUUAAAUAAACUUCAAAAACAUCUCUUGAAUUUCAUCAAAAUUCAUAUGUUAUCAACAAAUAGGGAUGUCAAAUGGACCGAACGGCUCAUCGGCUCGACCGCUUAGCUUGUCAAAAUCGGGCACAUGGGCGGUUGGGCUCGUAAUUUUACGAGCCCGAGCACAAGCCGAGUGGGCCUGGGCGGGGGAAAGUCGAGAGCAGGUCAUCAUUUAAACGAGCCUAGCUCAUUGCUCGGCUCGUGGCUCGUGGAAAAGUGACCAAACGGCCACUGAACUUUUUUAUUUUAUUUUUUUUCCUCACUUCACUUCUAUUAUAAAUAUCCCCAACUCUCGAUUUUUUCAUAUCAAAACUCUAUUCUCACUUCUCAACUCUCUCAACUCUCUUUAUAUCAAUUAUCAAGUUUUUGCUCUCUCUUGUGCUGUUGUGCAAAAUAUACAAUAUUGAUUCAUUUUUUUACAAUUUAUUCAGUUACAAUUUCAAUUCAUCCAAUUUUCAGUUCUCACUACAUUUAUAUUUUUACUAGUUAUUAUAUUUGGAUUUCAUCACAACUAAUCAAACAAAUGGAUUAACGCUAAUUUGUUGAGAGCUUAUUCGAUACGGGAUAUGGGCCACAUGGAGAAUCACCUAGGACUCCAAAGUUAAUUUUCGAAUGAAUUUGUCGAUCUAAAUGACGUACCCAUACCUGAAGUGUUCAUAUUCACGAUUAUGGAAGCCACAAUCCAAUUGAUUUGGAUGAUAUUAAUAUUCCCGAAGCGGAACAUGAGGACGAAAACCGAAUUAAACAUCAUAGGUGCGAGGGGAAAGCGAAAGGGGAAAAACAAGCAAAAUGUUAAUAUCACUUUAAAUUGAUUUCAACGGGAAAAAUCGCCAAUGGCCUCGUAGAAUCUAAGGCGGUAUGAAUACUGCCAACAAAGAUUGUCAUGGCAAAAAGGAAUUGGUAUCACCCCAUCUCAACAGCCACUACAAAGUAUGUGCGGCCAAACGUGGACUUUUUCCAGCUGGUCAAACACAAUUGCAAUUUGACAAUCCAGGCUCCGACUCUACGACUUCACCACGAUCCACGUGGGUAUAUUUGGAAGACAUUACUAGAACUAGAAUGGUGAAAUUUGUUGCCGCCACUGAGUUGUCUCUGACUAUUGCCGACAACCAACAUUUCGUUUCGUUCAUGAAAGAAUUUCUGCAACCAAGGUACGUUGGGAUAAGUCGAAACACUAUUCGUGCCAAUACAAUACAAUAUUUCAAUGAUUCAAAAUAACAAUUAAUUAUAGCUUUGCAACAAUAUGAGAGUUAUAUCUUUAACUUCUAAUGUAUGGGAAGGGGUUACUAAAAGAGUAUAUAUAGCUAUAACCGCAAAGUUUAUAAACCUACUUUGGUGCAUGCAUAAAAAAAUUAUUGUUUUUAGAAUUAUUGAGUUUCUUCACAAUGCUAAUAAUAUAUAUAAUGAUAUUAUCAGUAUUGUUAGAUAAUAUAAUUACGAGACUAAAAUUCGAUCUUUUACUUUCGAUAAUUCUAGUGUUAAUAAGAUAGUCAUCAAUAAAUUGUAUAGGGUACUUCAACCUGAUUUCGUUGGGUAUUUGUUUCUUAUUCGUUGUGUGUGCCAUAUUUUGAAUUUAAUUGUGCAAGAUUGCUUAAAACAUAUAAAUGAUGAACUUCAAAAGAUUAUGAAUUUAUUAGUAUAUAUUACGAUCUCUCCUAAUAGAAAACAAGUAUUUGAAAAUUUUUGUGCCAAACUAGAGGUGAUGACUACUAAAAUAUUUGUUAGCGAUGUAGACCAUAGAUGAAACUCUACGUACUUGCUAUUAAAAUCAUGUGAAGGUUUCGAACAUUUAAUAACUGACUUUUAUAACAAUAGACAUGUUAGAAACGAUGAUGAUGGUAUGUUGAAUGAAUCCGAUUGAAUUUUAACUUUGACAGUUAAACGAGUUUUGACAUCUUUUCAUGAGACCACAAAAAUUUUAUCAGACGUUUAUUAUCCGACAAGUGUAUGGUGCUUGAACAUUUUUAUAUAAUUGCAAGAACAUUUUAUAAAUAUAAAAAUGAUCAUGAUUUUAGUGAAAUUAUAAUUGCUAUGAAAUUAAAGUUUAGAAAAUAUUGAAAAGAACUGGAUAUGUCAUUUCCUUUAGCAUGAUCAAUGGACCCCUGAUAUAAUAUACCGAGAACUAAAUACAUAAUUGAUCAAAUCAAUAAAACCUUAAUAUUUGAUACACCUAUCACCUAUAAGAAUUUAGAGCAAACAUUAUGUGGAAUGUAUGAUUUAUAUGCGGAACGAUUGAGUGCGAAUGUUAGUCGGAUACCCUCUGCACAUAUUCCUUCGAUUGAAAUUGAAGAAAAUGAUGCAGAAAUAAUGAAUUUAUUUCAAGACAUUAAUACAUUUAGAUAUGAUGUAACUGCAAUGUGUUCAUCUAAUGCCAUGUCGUCUACACUUGCAUCUCAUCAAACAUCGGCCGCAAUUCAAAAUGCAAUGUCUGCCGAAUUAAUUGAUUACUUCAAUCAUAAUAUGCCAAUAGACAAAACAAUUAAAAAAAGUUCAGAAAAAAGUAAUUGGAUUCUGGCGAAAGCAUGAAAGAUGUUGGCAAAUUAUUUCUGCAAUUGCGAAAGACCUGCUGAGACAAAUCAUGUAAAAAUAUUUUUUCUCGCAUUUCUAAAAGCAAACUCAUUAGUUAAACUUUCAUAAUCAAUAUUUUCUAGAAAAGUCUUUCUCAAUAGAUAUCAAAGUUAAUCGUUCUUGUAAUAUGGUUGAUCGCAAAUAAGAUUUUAAUAACUUCAAUUUUGAAAAACUUCUUUUAGUAGAUGCAACAGUAACAGAAAUUGUCAAUAAUAUUCUAUAUUUCUAUAAGCAAUACAUGUAUUGAGAAAGCAAUUUAAUCUUUUCAAAUAAAUGAAUAUAUCAUAAGCCGUCUUUAUUUCUUUUGGUAAAAGAUUUUGCAAAACUUUUAACUUUUGAAAUAAAUAUUCGCCAUCAAAAUCGCAAAAAUUUACUUGUCUUAAAUCAAUAUCAAGAUUAUCACAACAUGCUUUCAAAUUAGCAUCAUUCAAUGAGUUUAACUUGUUGGAAGAAAAUAGAAAUCCAAAUUUUUUUUUCAUAUGAAUUGAAUUGAUCGAACCUUCGUUCAAGUGAUCCAAUUGCUCAAUCUACUAUAUAAAAGAAGUAAUUGGUUCUGAAAGAAUCUUUAGGUGAUUGUGCAUCAUCUACGGUAGCAUUUUCAUCUACUAUAAAGAAAUAAUCGGUUUCUUUCCUCUAUCUUAAUAUUCUUUGAAGCAAUUGGAAAAGACAGUUGAUUUCUUUAAUUCUUUUCUCCAAAAAGACGAUUGGAAAAGGCGGUUGUUCAAUUUUUCUUUUUUCUUCCAAUUCUCUACUCAGCCUGAUCUCUUUUCAACUUUUCCCUUUUCCGCCACAUUAUUUAAGAUAAGAAUACUAUUUAAGAAUAUUAUAUUCAAGGAAAUUAUAAUUAGUUAGUUACAUAAUUUUUAAUUUUAUUAUCUUAUGCAUGAUAAUACAAAAUUUAUAUUUUAAAUAUUUAAUUAUAAAUAAAUAUACAACUAUAACAAACAAAAAUUUUAGUGCCCCUACAGUUUUGAGCCCUGUGUGAUCGCUCAACUUGCGCACCCUCAGGGCCUCUGCAGAUAAUACUUUUGGACCCUUUUUUUCUUAUUUUCAUAUACUCCAAUGAGAAUAGGACACACCCAAAAGUUGUCAAGAGAGAAUAAUAUGGUAUCUUACCAAAUCAAAAAUUUUCAGGGAUUUUGCCUUCUAUAACACUAGAAGCCAUGUUCACAAUAUAAGAUAUUUCCGUGAUAGUUUCUCCAUAAAGCUUUUGGAAGAUCAAAACUUACCGUCAUAUUCAUUCUCCAAACCACCCCGUCUUAUUGAAGAGUAUAAGGCACAGAGUUGUGUCUUAGAAUUCUAUUUAGUUUGCAAAAUUGAUCAAAUUUGGAAUUGCGAAACUCUAAAACAAUUAUUGAUUUUAAGAAUCUUUAUUUUCUUUACAAUCUAAUUUUCUAUUAAUAUAUUACAUGUUCUAAAUUUUCAAAAAUAUCUGAUUUAUUCUUUAAUAAGAACAUUCAAACAUUUCUAGAAAAAUCAUCAGUCAAUGAGAGAAUAAUAAUUUCCUACUUGAGUGACAAUGGACAAAGGGUCUCACAAAUCUGAAUGUAUAUAUUUCAGAAUAAAGGUUGUAUUAUGUUUUCUUGUGUUAAAAUGUAGCAUAUUUUGUUUGCCUACACCACAAUAUUCACAAAAGAGGACUUUUGAAAUAGUCUUUCCAAAUAGUCAUUGUUUGUAAAGAAUGUGAAGGCCUUUUCACUAACAUGUGCCAACUUAUUGUACCAUUUUAAAGUGUCAUCAAUUUCAACAUUAGAGGCCUCGGUAGUGUGAUUCAAUAUUGCAUCAGCUUUGGUGACAAAGAUUUCAUUCCUUUUGGUACCUUUGAAAAUAGUAAGUAAUCCCUUUAUCAUGUCAUUUUCAACUCUACCUUGUAAUUCUAUGUCAUCUAAAUUUUUCAUUUCUCUUUAAAGUUGAAACAUAUCUAACUCUUUCAGAAGUAUAGAUAUAUUCAUUCUUAAAUUUUAAUAUCAUACUAUCAAUUCCUUCAACUCUUUAAGCCAUAUUAUUGCCCAUAACCAUCUUUCUCCCGUUAAUUUUCUUAAAAUUUUCUAAUCUGCUUUUUUAGAAGUCAUAUAGAAAGUACAACCUAUUCUUGAACUUGAUCACUUUUAUCUGCAACAUUUGCAGUAUUCAGAUCAAGUAAUGGUUCUAUAACAACUAGAUGCGGAUGAAGAGGGGGUGAGCUAGGCUAGCCCAACCAUACUCCAGUGUAAAAGCAAAUUGUAUAUUAAAAAUGAAACUUUUAGCCCAAAUUCAUGGUGAAAUUGAAAAGAAGAAAAAUUUAGCACAAUCCAAAAAUUAAUUUUAGCCCAACUAACUUCAUUCUCAACUCAAGCCUCGUGUUCAAUUAUUCAAAUUUAGUUUAAUACUUUACAACAAUUACAUAUUUAUUUUAUUCACAAUUAUGAUACACAAAUAACUAGUUAUCUAAUUAGGUAUUUUAUUUCUACGUGUGUGUGUAGUUUAAAUUUAUUAUAUAACAAAUAAUUUUUAUUGAUUAAAGUAAAGAUAAAUGACUUAUUUUAAGAGUAUGAGAUGCCAAAUAUUUGACUAAGUUUAAAAGUAAUUAAAUUUUUUCUUCUUUAUUUUUCCAUAUAUAAAUUAUUUAUACUUUUGAGUUAAAAAUUUAUUUAUUUCGACCACGAAAUGGAUAUAAUUAUCAAAAUAAAUAAUAUGCUCUAUAUUUAAUUAUAUUAGUAAAAAAUAUAUUUGUUAGAACUUUGUCUUGGGUGUUCAAAAAUAUAUUCUGACCCACAUUGUCUUUAGCGUCAUGGGUUUAACAUCUUAAACUAAAUCUCUUGUGGUAUAGAGCAUCUUUUAUGAUAUAAAUUCAUUGAAAAAAAAAUAAAUUUUAGCCAAUCCGAACAUAUCUUUCUAGCUUUGUCCCUGGUAAGAACAUAGACCUGUAUGUGUUAGAUUCCAAGGGACCAACUAUAUGCCCUUUAUUAACCAUUUUACCUUUCUGUUCAUUUUUCUUCUUAUAACCAUCUUUUAUGAAAUGUCAUGUUUUUCGACAUCCAUAACAUUUUUUUAUUUCUUGCUCCAGACUUUGACUUUGAAUUCCCUCUGUUCUUUUUCUUGUAAUUAUUUUUGUGAUGACUAUGAUUAUCUUGAUUUCCAUUUUGUCUAUUGUAUGAUCUACCCCCCACACAUAAACUUUCAUAAUUACUACUUAAAGAGUUAAUGACAAUUUGCAAGAGUUGAAGUGUCACUAUCAUACUUAAUAACAAUCCUACUCAAAGACCAUUUUUGGGUAUUUGUAAUGUCUCUAACCAAUUUGUAGGCUUCCAAAUUAUAAUAUACGUCUUUAGAUGAAUCGAUUAUAGAUUUGAAGAAUCUUUUAAAAGGAGAAGUUUGUUUGGUCAGGAUUUGACCAUGUAAACUCUUCUAAAUAUUUGCACAUAAGCUAAGUAGAGAAAUUUCCUACUUUUCUCAAAAUUUGGUCAGACGGAUAUAAAAUAAUAGAGGUGUAGGCAAGUUCGCGUGCCUAUCUCUUUGAUCAACAAUCAUAGAAGUUGGAUUAUUUUCAUCAAUAGUUUUAGAAACUUUUUUGUUGGACAAGAAUCCCCUUUUAUUUUUGUUGCCCAAUAGAAAAAUUUUCUUUCCCAUUAAAAAUCCCGUGUUCAAAAGUAGUUAUAGUCAUUUUUGCCAUAAAACACACAGUUUGAGCAAUUUAAAUUAAACCACCUUUAAGGUUUUUCAGCAAAAAUAUAUGCAAGAAUUCAGAUUGUUGUAAAAUUAGUAGGAACAGUAACCAAUAUUAACGACCCAUAGUAGAAAUUGGUAAAAUAAAUCAAGCUACCACAGACAAUAAUGUUGUAAAUGUUAAAUAGUUAAGAAAAAUUAUAAUGGAAAAUCCAACCAUCCAAAUUCAUCAAGAUUCCAUGAUAAUCAUGUUCUCAGGUCAAUGUUCAAUUUAAUUAGUAGUUUUAUUUCAAUUUUUAGAGAAAUAAUAAAUAAAAAAGAGAUGUCAAACUACACGUGCAAUGGUAGCAAAAUAUCAAUAUAGGUGCAAUAUCGAAUAAUCAAUCAAGAUAAUAUGAACACAAGUAUCACAUAAUCAAGUUAGGGUUUAUAAAAUGCAAACUAAAGUGGUGAUCUGGAGAUUUGAUUGCCAGAAGCAUAAGUAAAUGAAACGGUGUCAGGAAAACUAGCCAAUAAUAAGUAGAAACUGCAAAGAUCACCAAGAAUCGUACAGAUUCGCCAAGAACUUUCAUAUCUGGGGUUUCUAUUUCAAUAUCCGAAUGGAAAAACUAGAUUUCCACAAACCUCUACUAAACAAGCAAGAGUAACCAUUGAAAGCUAGAUCCUUUAAAAAUUUUAGUCUAGGAUUCAAAUUUCAGAUCAAAAGAAAAAUGAGUUUUUUCACAGCCAAAUAACAAUCGAACACCCAAGAACAGUCUCCAAAGGAAGAAUAUCACCAUUACACAAAAACUCGUACUGUACAAAACUCAGAAGGAACAAAUCAUAUAAAACUUUGCAGAAUCUAGAAUGUAUUCACAAAAGGCAUCAAAGUAUAUGUUGACACAUAAAAAUUCAGCCCAAAUCGAACGGCCCAAGGAAUGAAGCCCAAUUGGAGGAUCCCCAAAUCAGAUAGCCCAAAGAACGAAGUCCAAUCAAACAAUUCAAGAUGAAGGUCCAAAUAUGGAGGUCCAAGAACGCGGUAACGCCAUCGCCCAAGUUUGCAAGUCGCUCAGGAUCUAAGCGAAUGGAGUGCCAUGCAGUCGCCCAGAGUUGUUACUCUAUUCUCGUCCAAACCUUCAAGUCGCCCAAGGUCUUAACAAACAUAAAGCGUUGUGGUUAUCAAGAAGUACAGUUAUCAAAGCAGUUAUUAAAGAAACUUUAUCACGUUCCACGAUUCAAGGAAUUCGAUCAAAAACAGUUGAACGACGAAGAGUAAUGACAGCAGUUAAAAAAUGCAGUUUUCAUGACAAGCUGGCCAUUACGAGGAAAGUGGGCAGUUGCAGAACGAUCAAGCAGCUUUUAGGCAGUUGAUCACAAAAAAGAUCAUCCAUGGAGGAUAAAAGGGAGAAAAGACAUAGAACAAAGGAUCUAAUCAAAAACUCUCAAACAGAGAACAUGUAAUUUUAAUUUUAUUAGUUUAGACUUAAACACCUUUUUCAGUAACUCGUGUGCUUGCGCCCCUUGGAGGCAUUUUGUUUUUGAUUUCCAAUUGUAAAGUCAUCGCCAAUAAAAGAACACCCCUUUUUGGGACUUUGUCUCAAGAGGUUUGUCCCUUACACAAUCGUCCGAUCCCUUUUAAUUGUUAGCGACUAACCCGCGCGAAACAAUUUGGCACGCCUAGUGGGAUAGUGGUGUUUGGUGUUGAAAGUACAAAAGGUGAAACAAUAUGCCUCAAAGAUCCGAUAAGGAAGCAACAAGUUAGGGAGGAAUCCAGUCUGUGAUCGAGCGAUAUGAGGAGCAGCAUGCAUCUCCACGAACAAAUGGACAGAAUCAGAGCAAUAACUGUCGUUACGAACCAAUGAUGGAGUUGAGUCCUCGAACCAUGCGUGCAUCAUUUGGAGAACUCACACAAGAUGUUGCUAAACAGAUAAAUCUUCAAAGUAUUCAUAAUAUGGAAAAAUUUACCCAAAAUGGGAAUGCACACUAUGACAACAUGGCCAAACAACUAAAGACUUUGAACGAAACAAUGAAUAAAUUAGUAGGCCAAAUAUGUCAACCGGUUAUACCUCUUGCAAAUCACUUUCAAACUAGGACAAUUGUGGGACAUAAUCCCUCAGUCCUAAAUCUGAAUCAAGGGGUAGAGCCACUUUCUGGUCCCUCUACUUCAAACCAAGGGGGUACAGCAGUGCCAAAUCAGAACAAUGGUAGUGGUACGCCUAACUUGGGGGAUAAUCCAAACAUAAGAGAUAAUAUCCUAAACAAUUGACAGAAUAUCACACGUGUUAAUGAGGAAAUAGAUGUUCAGGUUAAUGGUAAUGGCCCUAAUCAUGGUAACUUUGUUGCCAAUCAAGGACCAAACAUCAGGCCUCAUGUAAAUCAACCGGCUAACCAGCCUGUAGGAAUUUCAUAUGAUCCCAACGUCAUAUUGAAGAAUCAGAUUAUGGAAAUCGUACAGGAUCAGAUGACUUUUGGGGUGCGUCCCGUCAUUAGGCCGACGUACACAAAGCCAUAUCCUGAUUGGGUAGACCAAGCAUAUCCAUGGCCUAGAGGGUACAAAGUGCCAAAAUUCUCUCUAUUUACCGGUUUAGGAGAGGUGUCUACUCUAGAAUACAUAGCGCAAUUCACAUUGCAAAGUGGUGAUGUAAUCGAUUACCAUAAAAUGAGGAUUUUCCCUAAUUCAUUAACAGGAGUAGCUUUCUCCUGGUUCAUCAACUUGCCAGCGAACUCUGUUCAAACAUAACAACAAUUGGAACAGUUAUUUCACGCUCAGUUUUAUAAAACUAAGUCUGAAGUCACUUUGGUUGAUUUGGCGAAUCUACGUCAAAUGCCAAACGAAUGGGCAGAAAGUUUUCUCCAAAGGUUCAAGACAGCAAGAAGCAAGUGUUUUGUACCUCUACCCGAAAAAGAAUUUGUCAAAAUCGCUCAAGGCUGUUUGAGCUUUGAUUUAAAAAAGAAAUUCCAGGAUAAGGAAUUUCCUGACCUUUUCCAGUUGAGUGCGAAUGUGAUUAGGUAUGAACGACUGAUAAGAGAGGAAGAACAGAUGAAAAAUUCUAGUAAAGGGACUUAUUACAAAGACCCAAAUUUUGAUGUUCAUACCAUCAGUGACGAGUCAUACGACCAGGCCGAAAUGUGUUUGGUCGAAUUGGUCAAAGAAGACAUGUAUACUUGUCACAUAAUGGCCAAGCCUAGACCAUCGGGCAAAGAUGAGCCCAUAAAAGAUGGAAACAUAAAGGCUAGAACGUUCUCGCUCGAUGUAACCAAAGCUGACCUUAUAUUUGAUAAAUUAUAUAGAGAUAAGCAGAUAAAGUUGAGCGAUAAGCACAAAUUGCCAAACCCUGAACAAAUUAAGGAAAAAAAAUAUUGUAAGUGGCAUAAUGCAUGGUCACAUUUGACUAACAAUUGCUUGGUUUUUCGCCAUGUAUUGCAGGAUACCAUUGAAUCAGGAUGAAUUACGUUCGACGAUAAGAAGAAGAUGGCAGUGGAUGAAAAUCCUUUUCCACGGCCACUUGGAGUAAACAUGAUGACAUCUGGAUUCAAAAACAAGUUGCCAAAAUUCAAGUUGGUCGUAGAUGAUGGAGAAGAGGAUCCUAGACCACAUCCCAGUGUCUUUGAACGAAUCAAGGAGAAAGAACCAAAAAAGGACGAAGACGUCCUGUGUGCAAGAUGUAAAAGAGAAAUGAAUGGCAAUACGGAGAAACCAGGGAUAUGGCAGCAUCCCCAUCGCCCUACCUUCUUCCCAAACACUCAGCCUGGUAGAGGGCGAGGUACACCAUUCUAUAGAGGACCGCCUUUUGAGAGGCGGUUCAGGCCAGCAGAUAAUGGAAGAACAUUCAGGCCGCAACCUCGUCGGCCAAAUGUAUGGCAUUCAUUCCAGUAUAAUGUAGGAAGGGCAAUACCCUUCAAUGAGAUGACUAGAACCCAACAAAGGCAUUUCCAACGAAACUAUAGACGGAUGAUGAGGCAGCAACAGGGAGUGCCACAUCCUAAAGCACCUAAAGUACUCAAGAUAGCCAAUCAAAAUGUCCUCAAAGAUAGUGAAGAGACCGGUACGGAUGAAUCAAUGAAGGAACUGUCAGAAACUUCUUCUAGGAGAUCAAAGUUUGAGUGAGACAGAAGGGAUGGAGAAGAUCCAGAUCAGCCCCUUACUAUCCAAUUCGGUACGUUGCCUCCUGUCGUGGCCAAUAAUUAGUUACUAGCCAAUGAAUUCAAGAAUAAAGAAAAAGAAGAAAAGAGGGAGGACAACGAAGGAGAAGCUUGCGUGCUGGAAUGUGAAGAAGGCCAAACUUCUAGAGAGGCCUACAAUGAUGAAGAGGACUACGGAAUGACAGACAUUGAAGAAGAAAUCGAUCUAGAAGCAGAAGGAAGAAAGAGAGGAGUAUCGCGCAAUACUCUAUUGAAGCUACUACAUCGAGAGGGAGUUCGCGAAGUAGACUUGUUGGGAGAACCAUCUGGGCGUCCUUUCGAUUUCUACGUACUGUACGGGACACCCAAAAGGAAGAAGAGAGUGCCUCGCUCUGAAAAGUAUGGGUCACCUCCAAGAAUAAUGCCCCCUCCCACAGGUUGGGUAACUGAUGAGGAAGCAUUAGAAAAAAGUAAGAAGGAAGUUCAGGAGACAAAGGAUCAGCGCGAUAUACUGCACAUCGACUUAUCACAGGGGGAUAAUUUGACAAAAAAAGCAGAAAAUAGAAAUAGAGGCUGCCGAAAAGGUUAUUUUUAAAUGGCCAGCCAUGAAAUUGACCAAACACUUGAGGCCAUUGUACAUUAAAGCUCUAGUUUACUGCAUCCCAGUGGCAAAAGUGCUUGUCGACAAUGGAGCAGCUAUAAACACCAUUCCAUCUAGGAUGAUGAGGAAGUUCGCAAAGACAGAGGGUGACAUAAUUCCUACAGAAAUCAUCCUCAUGAGCUUCAAUAGAGGAGCAAUUUCAGUUAAGGGAGUUAUGCCAUUGGACAUAACUAUAGGGACGACUACUAGGACCACUGUCUUCUUUGUAAUAGAUGGUCCUACUAGUUACAAUGUGCUACUAGGAAGAGAUUGGAUACACGAAAGUCGCUGUAUACCCUCAUCGCUCCAUCAAUGCCUGAUCUUUUGGAAUAACAAAGGUGAAGCAGAGGUGGUACAGGCCGAUCAUAGGCCUUUUGUCGCAGAAGCAAAUUCAGUGAAAAAGUUCAUGUACGAAGGAAACUAUGGACCUGUCAGGGUGGUACAAGAUGGGGAAGAAACUCAAGUUGUCACGCAAAGCGAAAAACCAUUCUCAGUGGACGCACUCACUGAAAUGUUCAAACAGAUGAGGCCAAAUAUAGUGGCCCUAGAAGAGCCAAUAAUUGGCAAAAGAAUAAUCAAGGAGUCUUGAAUGGAUUCUAAGUUAUAAAAGCAAAUGGCCGACAUUCAGGCCUUCAAAGCCAGACUAAUGGCUUUCAAUAAGGAAUGCAAUGACAAGGCAAAAGAAGAGACAGCCCUAAAAGUGCUGAAGGACAAAUUAGCAGUAUUUGAGUUAGAACAAAGCAUUGGCCGAUAAGUCAACAAGGUGGACUGUUUAGAAGAGGAAGUACUUACAAGGGAACUGGACGAUGAAGUGAUGCGGAUCGUCAAACCUGGAUAUGCUCAAGCACAAGACCCUCUGAUCAAAGUAAAUAUUGGCAAUGAAGGAGAAGAUCGUCCAACAUUCAUCAGCCAGAUGCUCGAUCAAGAGGUUAGUAAUAAAUUAAUCACUUUGCUAAAAGAGUACAAAGAUUGUUUUGUUUGGGAAUAUGAACAAAUGUCUGGUUUAGAUAGAGACUUGGUGGAACAUAGGUUACCAACUAAGCCUAAUUUUAAACCUCAUAGGCAGCCUCCUAGACGUUUUGCUCCUAAUGUACUCCCUGAAAUCAAGAAAGAGAUAGAGCGAUUAUUGAAAGCGGGUUUUAUUAGAACAGUCAGAUAUGUCGAAUGGUUGUCCAAUAUCGUACCAAUACUAAAAAAGAAUGGUAAAUUAAGGGUGUGUAUAGACUUUAGGAAUUUAAACAUAGCUACACCAAAAGAUGAGUAUCCAAUGCCCACGGUGGAUUCUUUAGUAGACUCGACUGUCGGACAUGUCAUGUAUUCUUUCAUGGAUGAGUAUUCAGGAUACAAUCAAAUUUAUAUAGCUGAAGAAGACAUACACAAAACUACCUUUAGAUACCCUGGGUCUCUAGGAUGUUUUGAAUGGGUGGUUAUGCCUUUUGACUUAAAAAAUGCAGGGGCAACUUAUCAAAGGGCAAUGAAUUUAAUCUUUCAUGAUAUGAUAGGCAAGUUUGUUGAAGUGCAUGUAGAUGACAUAGUAGUCAAGUCCAUUAAAGAAGAGAACCAUUUCGAACAGUUAAGAUGUUCGUUUGAGCGAAUGAAGCAAUAUAAGCUAAAGUUGAAUCCCUUGAAGUGUGCAUUUGGUGUUAAUGCAGGGAAUUUUCUUGGUUUCUUAGUACACAAGAGAGGGAUUGAACUUGAUAAAAAUAAAGCGAAUACCAUUUUAGAGGCCAAACCACCUAACAACAAAAAAGAAUUGCAAAGGUUUCUAGGCCAAAUAAACUUUUUAAGACGCUUUAUUUCUAACUGUGCAGGGCGAACUAAAGUCUUUUCGCCGCUCUUAAAGCUGAAAAAUCAGGACGAAUUCGUCUAAAAAGAAGAACAUCAAAAGGCUUUUGAAAGCCUGAAGACAUAUUUAUCAAGUCCACCAGUGCUGGUAUCACCAAUCCAAGGACGGCCAAUGAAAGUUUAUGUAUCGGCUGAAAAAGAAUCAAUAGCUGGAAUGGUCGCACGGGAAGACCAAUUUGGUGAAGAAAGGGCAAUUUACUACUUAAGUAGACGGUUAACGAAAUGUGAAUGUAAUUACUCUGCUAUCGAAAAAUUAUGUCUUGCAUUGCAUUUCACAUGUACAAAAUUAAGGGCUUAUUUACGGCCCGUAACCGUUUAUUUAAUUUCUAAAGUAAAUUUAGUUAAGUACAUGUUCUCGCUCCCUAUUUUACACCAAAGGGUAGGCCUUUGGACACUAGCUUUAUUAGAAUUCGAGAUACAAUAUAUACCUCAAAAGACAGUCAAAAAUCAGGCUUUGGCUAACUUUCUAGCCGAUCAUCCAUGCCUUGACAUGCCUGAAGAAAUCGAACUAGAAAUCAAUUCGUUCAAGCUAAAACCUUGGGUGUUGUAUUUCGAUGGAUCAAAAAUCUCUAAAGGUGCAGGAGUAGGAGUAGCAUUAAUUAAUCCUUUAGGGAUUUACUACAAGUUCGCAUUCACUUUAGACAGAAUGUGCACCAACAAUCAGGCCGAAUAUGAAGCCUUAAUUGUAGGCCUAGAACUAAUGAUAGAUAUGGGAAUAAGAAAUGUGAUUGUUAGGGGCGAUUCUCAAUUGGUAAUCCACCAAUUGAUUGGUGAUUUUAAAUGCCAAAGUGAUUCCAUUAUAAGUCAACAUGAGAUCGCCAAAGAAUUGUUAGAAGAAUUCGACCAAGUAGAACUUCAAUGCGUUAAUAGGAUAUAUAAUGACGUGGCAAAUGAGUUAGCACAAAAGAUCUCAGGGUACUCAAGGGUUUUGAAUUGGAAGUCUACUUGUGAGUAUGGAAUCAUAUUGCCCGUGACUCAAAGAAGGGCAAGAAAGAUUGAACUUCACGCAUAUAAGGUGGAGAUACAAUGGAUUGGAGAACAGAGACUCCUUAAAGAACCUAAUGGAGGGAUUAGUAGGAAAAUGAAGCUGUGUUUGCUGAACUAUACACUAAUAGACGAAGAGUUGUUUAAGAAACGCUCUGAUGGGGUAUUACUAAAGUGUGUAAGUUUGCAAGAAGCCAAGACGAUCAUGGCUGAAGUGCACGAAGAGAUAUGUGGAGCUCAUCAAGCUGGCCAAAGGAUGAGAUAGUUAAUUAUUAGGAGUAGAUAUUUUUAGCCAAAGAUGGGAGAAUUAUGCGUUCAGUAUGCAAAGAGUUGUUUAGCAUGCCAAAAGCAUGGUCCAAUACAAAGGGCGCCAGCACGAGAGAUGACACCUAUUAUUAAACCUUGGCUGUUCAAGGGUUGGGCGAUAGACCUGAUAAGGAAGAUUUAUCCCCCAUCGUCCAAGCAACAUACUUUUGUUAUAGUUGCAACCGACUAUUUCACCAAAUGGGUAGAAGUGGUACCUUUGAAAGAGAUCACCCAGAAGAAUGUUAUAGAGUUUAUCCGUGAUCACAUCAUUUAUAGGUUUGGAAUUCCACAAACGUUAAUGGUAGAUCACAGAACAUCUUUGAAUCGGGAUCAAGUGAACAAAUUUUUGAGCGAGUUUGGGGUUAAAUUAGUAAACUCCACACCAUACUACGCUCAAUCCAACGGACAAGCGGAAUCUUCUAAUAAGAUUCUAAAAAAUAUCAUCAGAAAGAUGAUAGAUGAAAAUGCCAGAAAUUGGCACGAAUGUCUGAACAAAGCCUUAUGGGCUUAUAGAACAUCACCUCGGUCAAGUACCAAAGUUACUCCUUUCCAACUUGUUUAUGGGCAAGAGGCCAUUUUGCCUAUGGAAAUCAACGUGCAAUCGAUUAGAGUGUGCUUGCAACAUAAGUUGAAUGAUGAUGAGUAUGCCGAAUCACUAGUUCAAAAUUUAUUGGGGUUAGACGAAUUAAAGUUGGACGUCUUAGAUAGAUUGUAAGUUCAAAAACAAAGAAUGACUAAGUUUUAUAAUAAAAAAGUCAUAGCCAAGUCGUUCAGCCUGGGUGAACUAGUUUGGAAGACGAUACUCCCUUUGGAUAGCAAGAAUCCAAAGUACGGAAAGUGGUCGUCCAAUUGGGAAAGACCAUACAAAAUAAACAGUGUGUUGCCCAAUGGAGCGUAUCACUUGGAAGAUUUAGAUGGCACCAACCACGUGAGAUUCAUUAACAGCAAAUAUGUUCCUUCUUUAUGGGAAUGUGAACAGAUAAAAGUAUAAUCAAAAUAUGUUGAACGAUUAAGAAUAACAAGGUCAGAGCAAAAUACGUUCAAAUAAAAUCCUUUAUUAUCAAACGUUCAUUACAAAGAUGCAAAAAUACAAAUAAUGGAUGCUCUACAAACUACAAUCAAAAGUAAGCUAAUCUCCCGGUUGAUCGCUGAGUAAGAGGGUGGACUAGCCUCACACCGCCUUCCUAAAUGCAUCGCUGCAAUAGUGGGAUCGCCGAGUAAGAGGGUGGACUGGCCUUACCACCUUCCUAAAUGCAUCGCUGCAAUGGCGGACAAAGAGGCUGAGAACCACUCUCAGCAAGCAAUCUAAGAAGCACUCUCAGCAAGUAAGGUAGCCCGCAAGCAUCCCAAAAAUUGCCUUCUAUCAUCGACUCCUUGUAAAGGACAAAGAGACGAUGGGAAGAACUUCGAUGGUAAAAACUUUGCUGCUGGCCAAAAAAUAUUUCCUAUACCUCCCACACCAAAGGUGACAUCAAGGCAAAUAGUAAAAUGGGCGGACUAAACAAUCCAUUUUUAUAGAAAGAUGAAGGUUUCGGAUCGGGUUGAUUGUCAGAGUGUCAAAUAAUGGUAGCAAAUUGGUUUCGAAGAAGAAAAUGAAGAUGAAGAUGGAAGAUGAAAAAUGCGAAGCAUACGUGCAUUUGUAGGGGGUUGGAGAUGAAGAGACAGAAUAUGAGCAGUCACAUUUUGCCUAGUAAAUGGAAUUAAAUAGCCCAAAGUCUUGGGAAAAGUGGUGAAAAUAUCAAAAGAAAAUUGGCAAGAUUUUUAGCACAAAGCAGUUAAAUGCUUGAAGAAUUUGACUAAAAAACAAACGUCAAAUAAAUGCACAAGAAGUUAAUAUAUAUGUUCAUUAAUGAUGAACAAAGUUGCAAAGGGAAAAUCAAAUUACAAAAGAAAAAGGUAUCAUAUGUCUUAAUUACAGUCCACCCCACACUGAACGAAUUCGUUCCCAAAGUUUUUCCCAAUCCUCGUUCUGUCGAGGGGAAGUAAUGUUCAAUUCGGCCACGACAUCAUCAUCAACUUCCAACUUCUUGUACUGCUCAACCAAGGACUUAGUUCGCUCAAUUCCCUAGGAGGCGUUGCGCUUUUUAGCAGCCAUUAUCGCCUUGCAGUCGUCCAUUUUGGCUUGAAGUUCCUUCAUCUAAGCAGCCAAAUUAACCAUCAAAGAGUCUUCAAUCAUGACUUCGGAAUAAAUUUCUUUCAACUCGUCCUCAGCCUUGUUGAUCUCCAGACGUAAAGACUCUUUCUCAGAUACGGCUCGAAGAUAUUGAGUACUUUUGGCCUUUAGUUCAGCAUUCUUGGCCAGCAAAGAAAGGACCUCGGAGUGGAUAACCUUCAACGUCGCUUUAAAAUCGACAGAAAGAUUGAGCGACGGAAGCAUCAAUGCUUGCUCCAACUUCGCAUUCAAAUGCUCAAGUUUAUCCUUGUGUCUGGCAGUACUAGCCCUACCAAUGUCCAUAUCCAUGAAGGACACAUACUCAAAUAUCGACUGCUUGAGCAACUUCAAAUCUUCCUCUGAAAAAGUAGCAAGACGGUCAGAUAGAGCAGGGCGAGACGUCUUGACUUGCCCCCAGGAAGCGAACAAGUCUUGGAUAAAACGCACAAUCUUGUCAGCAUCCUGCAAAGAAAAUUGCCAAUAUUAAAGAUUCUCACUACAACGAACAAGAUAGAAAUAAAAGUGAAGCAAAGAUUACCUCAUCAACAAUCGUGGAAGAUGACAUGUCCUCAGCCAAGUCUGCCACCAAUGACUCCUCCAUUCGUGAGGACUUCCCCUUGUCUGAGCGAGAAGAUGUUGCCACAACGGGCAGACUCAUAGGAGUAUCUGCAGAACUCAAGGGCAACAAAUCAGAAACCAAUAGCACAAGCAAAGGUAAGGCAUUAAAAAACUGAAUUACCUUCUGCUUCGAUGUUUGGGGGGGUUGACGCCCUGGGAAGAAGGUGGCUCAUCCAUGGGUUGUGAUGAGGAUUUUGGGACUGAAGAUGUCUCUUUAAGUGUAGUCCCCUCAUCAACCGAUUUGGAUGAAGCAGCCUCAGCGGAGGAUGAUGGAGUAGGAGCUGUCGAUGCCAAAGCCUUUGAAGGAGAGGCUGAACUUUUCUGAGAAGUCCAAAAAAUCAUCAGCACACAGAAAAGUUCCAAGUAUGGAAAAGUAUGCUUGUGAGUAAACCAAUUUAAUUACCUUUCUCCUGAUGAUAAGAGGGGUAUCAUCAUCAUCAACAUCAUCCUCCAGAAUGGGAGAUGCUGAAGCUAGCCGUUUGCGGUUUAGGGCACUCUUAGCUGCAGUAGGCUUGGCAGGGAGAGAAGAAGAUGGACGAGCAGACUGUUUAGCGCGACAAGGAGGAGAAGGACUCCGGAUGGACAAAGGAGUGACUAAAACAGGAGGAGGGGAAGAAAUGCUCGGCUGGUCUAGUGAAUGAAAGGCACGAUUAGCAUCAGUCUCAAACAAUCUGUGCUUCACUGACGGCCAGAGCUGUUCAAAAAGAGGAUGGAUGGCGUGGCUAGAAUUGACGGGGGCUAAUGAAAAAUAGCUUGUUAAGAGAAGAUUGCGAGCAUUUAUAGCAUCUGCCUCCGCCUUAUUAAUAAUAUGAAAACGGUCAAUUAAGUUCCUUGAAUAGCAAGGAGGAACAGGCCAAAUUUGGCCAAAACCAAGCUGGCGAGCAAAAAAUUAGGGAGCAUAAAUUUCUACCCCUGCCUUAGCAUUGGUCCCAAUUAAAAUAUCAUGAAAUAGCUCCCUCCCGGUUAAAAACUGGAUCCAAAUGAGCAGGGAGGUGCUCGUGCUGUAUAUAGUAGAGGGGGGAUGUACAUAGUUUGGAGUCAAAAAAGGAGGAAAAGGAAAAAAGGAAGAGAUUGAAUCCAAAGAAUAAAAGAAUAAAAAAAUGUCCUUUCUGGACAUAUUUACAGGAGCCAAGGGCUCAAUGGCUAGCCCAUAGCAGCUAGUAAAGGAACGAGAAAUUGAUGGAGCACCAAGCAAUGGAAAAUAGGAUCUCAACCACAGAUGAGUGAACCAAAGAGGUUCACUGCCAGUGGGAGAUGCACCAUUCUUUAAUUGAGUUUGAAGAGAGGUCAUGCCUCUAUAAAGGGCAGCCAAAAAGAAAGAACAUAAAUUCAAAGGUCUGCCACGCGCUAAUUCGUGCGCUAUGGGUAAAUAACUCAGGGAGGGCUUUAUGCUUGGCACGCACAAAACAUAUUUACAAAGCCAAACUAGAAGAAAGGUCACUCGCUCAGUAUGGGAAAGCUCAGCGCUCGAAUGAUUGUGAAGGGUUUGCAGGCUUGAAUAAGAUUCGAUGUAGUUUUUACCAAACUUUGGGGCGCCACCAGAAACCAAGAUACCAGGAAAAAUGGUAUCGUCCAAAGGUGGUAGAUUCACUAGGGCCCCAACAUCCCUUAAAGUAAUAGACAUGGGGCCAAGAGGGAAAAUAAAGGUAUUAUACUCGGAAGACCAAAAACUCAAAGCAAUCGAAAAAAGUGCUGAAUCAAAAGUAGGGGGACGAAUAGAGAUUUCUAACAAAUCAGAAAUCCUAGCAUUAUCAAAAAGUGCCUUAGUAGGACCAUGGCCCACAAGACGAGCAUGCCACCUACGGAAAGCUACAUCAGAUUUAGGCCAAGUGGUAUCUCUUUCGUGAAGUGGCCCCAGCGGCAGAGAGUUUAGAAAUGGAAGGCCUUGAGUACAAGGAAACAGCUGACCCACCGCCGCCUGUUCAACUGCCUCUGCAUUGUUGAAGAAAUGACCUAAGUAGAACUCAUUGCGUUCAACAUCGGAGGGCGCGAGAAAACUCGGAGUUAUGUAUGGACGACUCAGAAGUUUCUGAAAGUCAUCAAAACUAAAGGAGUCGCCAGCUUGAGAUUGUGAAGUAGCCAUUUGAGAUGGAACGAAGUUUUUCAGAGUUACGUAGCAGGGAAGCAAAAGAUGAACAGUAAAUCGUGGGAGAGACGCGAAAAAUUUGAGGCAUGAUUUAAUGGUGCAGUGAAAUGGCGUGUUUGGGGGUUAUAAGGAUUUUCAAAACGACGCACCUUUUUAAGUUAUGGAAGAAAACAAUGAUUGAAAUUCUUGAAAAUCUCGAAUGUUGCUGGAAACACAAAGUGAAUAUGGUAAAAUCUAAUAAUUAUCAUUAAUUCUACCAUAUUGGGGGGUAAUUGUUGACACAUAAAAAUUCAGCUCAAAUCGAACGGCCCAAGGAAUGAAGCCCAAUUGGAGGAUCCCCAAAUUAGAUAGCCCAAAGAACGAAGCCCAAUCAAACAAUUCAAGAUGAAAGCCCAAAUAGGGAGGCUCAAGAACGCGGUAACGCCAUCGCCCAAGUUUGCAAGUCGCCCAGGAUCUGAGCGAAUGGAGUGCCAUGCAGUCGCCAAGAGCUGUUACUCUAUUCUCGUCCAAACCUUCAAGUCGCCCAAGGUCUUAACAAACAUAAAGCAUUGUGGUUAUCAAGAAGUGCAGUUAUCAAAGCAGUUAUUAAAGCAGCCCUAUCACGUUCCACGAUUCAAGAAAUUCAAUCGAAAAUGGUUGAACGACGAAGAGUAAUGGCAGCAGUUAAAAAAGGCAGUUUUCAUGACAAGCUGGCCAUUACGAGGGAAGUGGGCAGUUGCAGAACGAUCAAGCAGUUUUUAGGCGGUUGAUCACAAAAAAGAUCAUCCAUGGAGGAUAAAAGGGAGAAAAGACAUAGAGCAAAUGACCGAAUCAAAAACUCUCAAACAGAGAACAUGUAAUUUUAAUUUCCUUAGUUUAGACUUAAACACUUUUUUCAGUAACUCGUGUGCUUGCGCCCCUUGGAGGCAUUUUGUUUUUGAUUUCCAAUUGUAAAGUCAUCGCCAAUAAAAGAACACCCCUUUUUGGGACUUUGUCUCAAGAGGUUUGUCCCUUACACAAUCGUCAGAUCCCUUUUAAUUGUUAGCGACUAACCCGCGCAAAACAGUAUCAUAGAUCAAACUCAAAUAUUGUACAUUUCUAUAUCGGAACAAGAAACCCCAUAACCAAGAUCUAAAUGAACAAUUGAAGUUGUUUCUAUAUACUAGAAGAACUCAACCAACAUACCACCUCUCUUCUCUCAAGAAAUCACUCAAACUCCUAUAUUCACAAUGAAAACACAGAAGAGGUUGAAGAUAUCACAGAGAAGACAAAGAAAAAGAUAUGGAGAAUUCUAGAAGGUUGCCAAGGAAAAAUAAAACGAAAAGCAAAUUAGGAAAACAAGGGGUUAUCUAUAUAUAACCCAGAUGUCCAUCGUUAAUCUUUGGUCAAGGUUAACGGUCCAAAGCAACUAACAACUUUGCAAGUUAAGGAAGUGACAUUUAACACUAAAGUCACGUUUCAUAACAUGAAUUUCUCCACUUUAUAAUUGGACCGGGAUUGGGGCUUUGUCCAUUGAAAUUAGAGGAAAUUACAUAUACAAGUAUGACGCAGAAUGGAAGUAAGAAAAAGAACAAAAGAUUUACCAACGUAAAUCUUAAAAAUAAGAAAAUUGGAAUUCUCCAAGAAUGAAAUUUGUAUAUUCUUCAAUGAUGACGGAAAAUGUUCCAAAAGCCAUUAAAUAGGCGUUACAAGAAACCCUGAAACAUAGAAAAAAAUAAAACGUUCCAAAAAUAACGAAAAUUCAAAAUGGGAAAUACAGAAAUUAAUUAUUCAGAGGCCUAAAUAAAGGAAUUUGGCUAAAAUCUCGAGAUCCCCAGUCCAAUUUCUAUCGGGCCAUUUCCAAUCAACCUAUCAAAUUUCAGCCCAUUUCGACACCAUCGCGACAAAUGACAAAAUUACCCUUGGUGCGAUUUUUCUUUGUUAAUUUUCUGUCCCACACUUCUUCAAACUCCAAAACUAGGUGUCCUAUAUCAAAGUAUUUCAACUUCAUUGCGCAAAAUUCAGGUAUAAAUUUUUUUUAAUCGGAAUUCAGGUAUUGUAUUAAUAAUUAAAUAUUACACACCCUACCUAAUUCCAUAGUAACCCUAAAUCAAUUUUCUUCUCCCUAUUCAUCGUUGUGCCAUUUCACCCCACACCCGUCACCACCCUAAAUCGGCGACCACUGACCAUCUUGCACAGCGACAAGCACUCAUCGACGACAGGCUCGAUCUCGUUCUCUUUUGUUGUAUUUUGCAUCUGUCUCUUCGUUAGUAUGAUCUGCUAGUGGUGGUGGUAUGAUGUGGUAGUGAUGUCUGUGGUGUUAUUGACAGGCCCGAGGUGGAGGUAGUGGCAGGAUUGGAGUUUCUUUGUUGGGUGGUGGUUGUGGUGUGGCAUGGCGUGACGAUGUCUGUAUUGCUGGAGACGAUGGGGAUAGUGGUGAAUUUGGUGGCAGGGACGGGGAUGGGGUGUGAUGGAGAUGGAGAUGGAGAUGGAGAUGGAGAAGGAGAAGGAGGUUUUCUGUUCUCGUUGGUGAUUGUUUUGGAUAGUGGGUUGUUACUGGUGGUAGUGGUAGUGCAAUAAUGAUGGUGUGUGGUGGUAGAAUGUUAUAAUGGUGAUUGUUGGUGGUGGAGGUGGUUGUUGGUGGCUGGAGAUUUGAUAGUGGUGAUUGUUGUCGUUUUUGUUAGCAGACUGGAUUUGGUGGUGACGAUUUUGUUGGUGAUGAUGUUGUGGUGAUGAUGUAGGUAGUGGUGGCGAUGGUGAUGGGGUUGGUAUUGGAUCUGGUGGCAACAUCGGGGUGGAGGUAGUGAUGAUGCCUGUGGCAGAAGUGCCCCAAUAUUUGGUGUAUGUGACUAAAUAUUUGGUCCUUUGUGACCAACUAUUUGA